rnacentral:rRNA from 1 species
GUCUUUCGGUUCCUGGGGUAGUAUGGUUGCAAAGCUGAAACUUAAAGAAAUUGACGGAAUGGCACCACCAGGAGUGGAGCCUGCGGCUUAAUUUGACUCAACACGGGAAAACUCACCCGGCCCGGACACCGCAAGGAUUGACAGAUUGAAAGCUCUUUCUCGAUUUGGUGGUUGGUGGUGCAUGGCCGUUCUUAGUUGGUGGAGCGAUUUGUCUGGUUUAUUCCGAUAACGAGCGAGACUCUAGCCUGCUAAAUAGUGGCUGGAUUUUUAAGUCCAGUCUACUUCUUAGAGGGAUAAGCGGUGUUUAGCCGCACGAGAUUGAGCGAUAACAGGUCUGUGAUGCCCUUAGAUGUCCGGGGCUGCACGCGCGCUACAAUGGAAGAAUCAGCUGGCCUAUCCAUUGCCGAAAGGCAUUGGUAAACCGUUGAAACUCUUCCGUGACCGGGAUAGGGAAUUGUAAUUAUUUCCCUUGAACGAGGAAUUCCUAGUAAGUGUGAGUCAUCAGCUCACGCUG